AUGAUGAAAACCAAUACUGAAUAACUUGAGAUCGGGACUCAUCGCAGAGCUUGUUCUCUCUCGGCGGAACAAAUACGGAUCCAUAGCUACCACAGAAGAAACGUUUGAUAAUACGGAUCUAUCACCGUCAUCACUCAUCUACCACAAUCGAAAGAUUUUGAUCUCUCACGCAAUCCGCAGCCAAUUUCUCAGCUUCUAUCUCAAAUCCGGCGCACCGCAGAAAGGGGAAUUGCAGGGAAAUCGCCGCCUACUCCUAGGGUUCCGUUUUCCUUCAAUCCAAUUCCAAUUUUCUGUUAUCUCCGUCCAAUUCAAUCCUUUAUAAGUUUGCUUCGAGACACAGGUGUGGUUUCAUUUCACUCAUACGUUGCUUAUUUCUUAUGCUUAUCAGAUGGAGAUUUGUUAAGGGUUAGGAUUUUACUGAAUCCAAUUAACAAAGCUGUUAAUUUGCAAUUAGUGAACCAUCGGUACAAGGUUUUGAAGAUUUGUGUGAUUUGGGUUUCUCUGUUUCUUCUGCGUUUUUUAUUUCAUCUCUGUUGAAACAUACUCGCUGGAACCGGGUUAACGCAUAACAUUUCAUGGUAUAUACAAUUCGUCACCUGAUCAAGCGGUAUCAUUAUUUUUCUACUUCCUCUAAGUAGCAAGCGGCAGGUGUUUAUGGUUAUUGAUCUAUACUCUUUUUCCCUUCUAGGUUUUAUCCCACUGGGUUUUACUAGGAAGGUUUUUUAGCGAGGUAGAUCUUUUUUUGUUUUUCCGCUGAUACAAUUAUUCUCUGAACCCUUUUUAAUUUUCUGUUAUGAACAUUCCUUCCUUUCUCUCAAUCUUCAUCGUCGGUUGAUUAGCCAAACGAGAGUUUAAAGUCCUAGUCCGGUUUCUCUGGCAACGGAGAUUCCCUCGGCUAGGGACCAGUUUUGGCGAAGCAACUGUACGGCGAAGGGUUUAGCUGAAGGAUAGGGGACGGUAUUUAGAAGUGGAAAUUUUAAGCAACUUCAAGGGUUUUUUAACAAUCACUUUUAUUUUGAUCUUUUGGUCUGUGUUUGAUGCUGGGGUUUGUGUUUUUCACAUUGUAAUCCAAUUUUUGUUCCCAACAUUAUGGGAAAUGAGAAUGAGCAAGAUUGGAACUUUGUUACAAACAGAAAUCAAAGAAGAAGAGAGCAUAAUUUACCUAAAAUCGAUAUAGCAACGAACGGAAGACAACAUAUGGAGAAAGAUGUAACGCAAACAUCUUAUUUCUUUUCUGAUUUUCCGGAAAGUUUCGGAGCGAAAGCAAUGUACAACAUAUUUCAAAAAUAUGGAGAUAUUGUGGAGGUUGUAAUUCCGGCCAAAAGAGACAAAGGCGGUA
rnacentral:lncRNA from 1 species